AGUGAUCGAUGUGAAUUCAUUUUAUUAAGUCGAUCAAGUAGAUUGAUUAUAUUUAUGUUUAGCGCCAUCUGGAGGCUACUAAAUUCGUGUUAAGAAAUGGCACCCUUUUUGGUUUCCAGUGGAUGAAAUCUAUUGAUAUUGGAGGCAUCCUUGUGUAAGAUGGAAGUUAGAUGCACUUAAGAAGGCAGAAUGAAGUUUUUACGGAGCAUUUGGAGCAACAAGAGAAUUGGAAUAAUAAAGAAAGACCAAUAAACAAAGUCAAA